GCUGUACUCCCUCCGUCCAACAAAAGAUGUCUCAAGUUUGUCAAAAUUUGGAUGUAUCUAGACAUGACUUAGUGUAUAGAUGCAUUCAAAUUUAGUCAAAAUUGAGACAUCCUUUGUUGGACGGAGGAAGUACCAU
rnacentral:pre_miRNA from 17 species